CUACCCAUGCUACUCAUGUUUAUCAUAGUUCAUGCUGUUCGUUCUGGUCACACAUCUCUUCAGACAGCAAGCAGCAGCAGCACAUUUUCACAUGCAGGUCCAGUUUUCUUACAGGAUAAUGAAGCAGUAGCAGCAGACUCAAUGUUACAAUCCAACAACCUGAAGAUAGAUUCUCAUCUUCAAUAGAUGCCUCUAUCAAAGUUGCCCCCAUUGAUCCUGCUGACAGGCCACACCAUUUGACUGACACACUAAGAACUGAAUUACUUAGGAGGUAAACUCAAACUUCACAUUCCCUAAAAGAGAUGGAAGAUGAUUCCAUCACCA